CCGUAGGUGAACCUGCGGAAGGAUCAUUACCGAGUGUAGGGUUCCUAGCGAGCCCAACGUCCCACCCGUGUUUACUGUACCUUAGUUGCUUCGGCGGGCCCGCCAUUCAUGGCCGCCGGGGGCUCUCAGCCCCGGGCCCGCGCCCGCCGGAGACACCACGAACUCUGUCUGAUCUAGUGAAGUCUGAGUUGAUUGUAUCGCAAUCAGUUAAAACUUUCAACAAUGGAUCUCUUGGUUCCGGCAUCGAUGAAGAACGCAGCGAAAUGCGAUAACUAGUGUGAAUUGCAGAAUUCCGUGAAUCAUCGAGUCUUUGAACGCACAUUGCGCCCCCUGGUAUUCCGGGGGGCAUGCCUGUCCGAGCGUCAUUGCUGCCCAUCAAGCACGGCUUGUGUGUUGGGUCGUCGUCCCCUCUCCGGGGGGGACGGGCCCCAAAGGCAGCGGCGGCACCGCGUCCGAUCCUCGAGCGUAUGGGGCUUUGUCACCCGCUCUGUAGGCCCGGCCGGCGCUUGCCGAACGCAAAUCAAUCUUUUUCCAGAUUGACCUCGGAUCAGGUAGGGAUAACCGCUGAACUUAAGCAUAUCAA
rnacentral:rRNA from 1 species